AGAGUUUGAUCAUGGCUCAGAUUGAACGCUGGCGGAAUGCUUUACACAUGCAAGUCGAACGGYAGCACGGSRGCAAYSCUGGUGGMGAGUGGCGAACGGGUGAGUAAUAYAUCGGAACGUGCCCARUCGUGGGGGAUAACGUAGMGAAAKYUACGCUAAUACCGCAUACGAUCUAWGGAUGAAAGCGGGGGAUCGCAAGACCUCGCGCGAUUGGAGCGGCCGAUGGCAGAUUAGGUAGUUGGUGGGGUAAAGGCUCACCAAGCCGACGAUCUGUAGCUGGUCUGAGAGGACGACCAGCCACACUGGGACUGAGACACGGCCCAGACUCCUACGGGAGGCAGCAGUGGGGAAUUUUGGACAAUGGGCGCAAGCCUGAUCCAGCCAUUCCGCGUGCAGGAUGAAGGCCCUCGGGUUGUAAACUGCUUUUGUACGGAACGAAACGGCGCUUUCUAAUACAGRGCGCUAAUGACGGUACCGUAAGAAUAAGCACCGGCUAACUACGUGCCAGCMGCCGCGGUAAUA
rnacentral:rRNA from 1 species